ensembl:lncRNA
GGCGCUGCCUGGGCGCGGGUCGGCGGCUGAGAGCUAUCUCUGCAGCGCUGGGAGGGUGUGCGCGCGCGCCGGCGCUCCAGGCUUAAGUCCGUGGCUCUGGCGCCGUGAAUCUGAAUCCGAGCCUCGGUUCCUCCGCUCACUAGCCGUGUGACCAUGGGUAAGGUGCCCAUCCGCAGUUUGUCUUUCUGCAAGAUGAAGAUGAUUUCUUAGGUGUUGUUGCGGGCUGAUGUGAGACAACCGCACGUAAAAAAGGGCGCACUAGGUGUAGCUUUCAUUAUUUACGAGAGAAAAGGCGCUUCCCAGAUAAGAGCACAGAGAUCCGAGAAAGCCAGCCCCGAAAAGAGCGUUUGGGUUGCGGGCCCGGGAGGGAAAUGCAGCGGAUGAAGCUGAAGACGUAAGCGAGACUUCUUUGGCUUACGGUCGGGAGGUUGGUCUUGAUCCCAUAGAUGGUAGGAACCGUGAUAGGGUUUUUCACGAAGAUCGAGCUGCUGCGUGGAGAACUGGAGGGUGGGAUUGGAUGCCAACGGUAGAAACGUGGUUAAAUAUUGCCUUACUUGAGGGAAGGGACUGGUGGCCUAGAUGGAAGGGUGAUGAUGGAGGUGGGCAGUAGCUGAUGGCUUUAAAAGAACAGGCAGAAUUAGGAGGGGGAGGGAGUCCUGGGUAAUGUUCUGGAUUGAGUAGCUGCGUGAUGUUGGUACCUUUCAGAGAGAGACAGAAACGCUGAAGGAGUGGAAGGUAGAGAGCCCAGACACAGGUGGGCUCUGUACAGGUGUGACCAGGCUCCCCCACCCAGUCAGGAUCAAAGUGCUGACAGGAAGCAAGUGUGGGACAGCUCUGUCUGCAGAGCAAGCCCUACACUGUCAGAGAUUUCUGGGAAGGCUGCUAAGGGCACAUGGGAACGUGAAAUGUAGCCCCCGUUUUGUCCAAACGUUAGGGACUCCACAAGCUCCUAAGGAAUUAGCAGUUUUACCAGGGCCAAAGGCCCAAAGAACAUGGUCAGUAUUCCAGAUAGGCUGGGAUAGGGUUUUCAGUGGAUCAGCUUAGGUUUUUCCUUCAGCCAACUCAAAGGCCCCAAUAAAGUCUGGCAUCUUUACCCUGAACCAGCCAGGGGUUUGGGGUUACUGGCAGGAAUCAGGGUAUUUAACUCUGGUGGAGUCACUGACCAAAGAAUAGAUAGGGAGAAGGAAGUUACUAGAGGGCUUCCCUGGUGGCUUGGCUGGUAAAGAAACAGCCUGCAACGCAGGAGACCCCGGUUGGAUUCCUGGAUCAGGAAGGUCCCCUGGAGAAGGGAUAGGCUACCCACUCCAGUAUUCUUGGACUUCCCAGGUGGCGAUAAAGAAUCUGCCUGCAAUAUGGGAGACCUGGGUUGGGAAGAUCCCCCUGGAGGAGAGCAUGGCAACCCACUCCAGUAUUCUUGCCUGGAGCCUGGUGGGGUACGAGUCCAUGGGGUCGCAAAGAGUCGGACACGAUUGAGUGACUAAGCACAGUGGAAAAUCCAGACAUUUCUAGACCAGUAUUAUGGAUAAAAUGAUUAAAACAUCUAGGAUUGGCUACAAAACAAUAUGAAGGGAAGGAGGGAAGUAGGUGGGGGUAUAAAUGAAUCAAAGGUGGCUAUGAGUUACUCCUAUUAAAGCUGUGUCAUAGAUAUGUGGAGAUUCGUUGUGCUAGUCUCCGUAUUUGUUUGUAUGUGGUAAAAUGUCAUAAUGCAAAGUCAACAAGAUAAGCGGCUAGAGCUUAUAUCCUCCAUGAUAUCUGCCCAGUAUCCCUGGGAACAGUUGAAACCCUUCUUCCUUGAAGUUGUUGCUGUACUUUGAACAUUGCUCUGGCAGGAAAAUUACUGUAAGGGGUUUAUUUGCCUAUCUUGCCUGCUAGCUUGUAAAUUUAGUGCAUCUCCAUUUCCAGGUGCCAAGUCCACCGCCUAACCCUGUUAGUGCUCAGUGGAUGUUGGAUGGAUGGAGGGAUUUUAAAAAUUGUGAAUACCGGGCAUUUAAUAAAUGUUUUCUGAAUUGCAAUCUGUUUUUAGUUUCUUUGUGUUUGUCUUCUUUCUCAGCUGGGUUGUUGCUGGAGUCAAAAAUGAUACAUAUGACAGAAGGCCUUCAUAUCAAAUAUGUAGGUACUUGAUAAACACUUACUUGGAAUUAGUUGGAAUGCUGAUCUAGUCUUCGAAUGUCAGCGGUUCCAAAACAAAGAGCUCAAAUAACAGAAUCACCCUCAGUUGCAGUAUUCCCCGCCAACCACCUGCCUGAAUCACUCACAUUCACCCUUCAAAACCCAGCUCAGUGACCUUCGGAGGACCUCCAGCCAGCUUCUCGGGCAGAGUCCCUGUGCUGCACCGUGUUUUUGCCUUCUUCUGUUCUGCACUUAGCUGGCAACGCUGUAAUUCACCGCUGUAUACUUGGUUUGCGAGCUCCUCCAGGGUAGGAGCUGUGUUGUAUUUACCUAUUUCGAGGGACUUGCACAGUGCCUGGUGCUUAGUGGGUGCCCACUGAAUGCCUCACAUAAUCAGAGGUGGCAAGUUGGGUGAAGGAGCAUGGGCGGGAGACUGUAACACAGUAGGGGCAGGUGGUCCCACAGGGAGUUAGGUGGGAGGCCAUCCUGCACUGCCAGCUGAUGGCUCCAGGAGAUAAGGGG